ACGAGGCACUACGGUGCUGAAGCAACAAAUGCCCUGCUUCCAGGAAAAGCCUCUAAGCAUCAGGUAACAUCAAAUCGUACCCCAAACCGACACAGGUGGUCAGGUAGAGAAUACCAAGGCGCUUGAGAGAACUCGGGUGAAGGAACUAGGCAAAAUGGUGCCGUAACUUCGGGAGAAGGCACGCUGACACGUAGGUGAAGUGAUUUACUCAUGGAGCUGAAGUCAGUCGAAGAUACCAGCUGGCUGCAACUGUUUAUUAAAAACACAGCACUGUGCAAACACGAAAGUGGACGUAUACGGUGUGACGCCUGCCCGGUGCCGGAAGGUUAAUUGAUGGGGUCAGCGCAAGCGAAGCUCCUGAUCGAAGCCCCGGUAAACGGCGGCCGUAACUAUAACGGUCCUAAGGUAGCGAAAUUCCUUGUCGGGUAAGUUCCGACCUGCACGAAUGGCGUAAUGAUGGCCAGGCUGUCUCCACCCGAGACUCAGUGAAAUUGAACUCGCUGUGAAGAUGCAGUGUACCCGCGGCAAGACGGAAAGACCCCGUGAACCUUUACUAUAGCUUGACACUGAACAUUGAGCCUUGAUGUGUAGGAUAGGUGGGAGGCUUUGAAGUGUGGACGCCAGUCUGCAUGGAGCCGACCUUGAAAUACCACCCUUUAAUGUUUGAUGUUCUAACGUGGACCCGUAAUCCGGGUUGCGGACAGUGUCUGGUGGGUAGUUUGACUGGGGCGGUCUCCUCCUAAAGAGUAACGGAGGAGCACGAAGGUUGGCUAAUCCUGGUCGGACAUCAGGAGGUUAGUGCAAUGGCAUAAGCCAGCUUGACUGCGAGCGUGACGGCGCGAGCAGGUGCGAAAGCAGGUCAUAGUGAUCCGGUGGUUCUGAAUGGAAGGGCCAUCGCUCAACGGAUAAAAGGUACUCCGGGGAUAACAGGCUGAUACCGCCCAAGAGUUCAUAUCGACGGCGGUGUUUGGCACCUCGAUGUCGGCUCAUCACAUCCUGGGGCUGAAGUAGGUCCCAAGGGUAUGGCUGUUCGCCAUUUAAAGUGGUACGCGAGCUGGGUUUAGAACGUCGUGAGACAGUUCGGUCCCUAUCUGCCGUGGGCGCUGGAGAACUGAGGGGGGCUGCUCCUAGUACGAGAGGACCGGAGUGGACGCAUCACUGGUGUUCGGGUUGUCAUGCCAAUGGCACUGCCCGGUAGCUAAAUGCGGAAGAGAUAAGUGCUGAAAGCAUCUAAGCACGAAACUUGCCCCGAGAUGAGUUCUCCCUGAGACUUAGAGUCUCCUGAAGGAACGUUGAAGACGACGACGUUGAUAGGCCGGGUGUGUAAGCGCAGCGAUGCGUUGAGCUAACCGG
rnacentral:rRNA from 1 species